rnacentral:rRNA from 1 species
CCGAUAGUGAACCAGUACCGUGAGGGAAAGGCGAAAAGAACCCCGGUGAGGGGUGUGAAAUAGAACCUGAAUCCGUGUACGUACAAGCAGUAGGAGCAGGCUUUGUCCUGUGACGUCGUACCUCUUGUAUAAUGGGUCAGCGACUUAUAGUCAGUGGCAAGGUUAACCAUCUAGGGGGGCCGUAGGGAAACCGAGUCUUAGCUGGGCGUUCAGUCUCUGGAUAUAGACCCGAAACCAGGUGAUCUAGCCAUGGGCAGUUUGAAGGUUGAGUCACAUCAACUGGAGGACCGACCCGACUAAUGUUGAAAAAUUAGCGGAUGACUUGUGGCUAGGGGUGAAUGGCCAAUCAAACCUGGAGAUAGCUGGUUCUCCCCGAAAGCUAUGUAGGU